UGGGGAAUCUUGGACAAUGGGCGCAAGCCUGAUCCAGCCAUGCCGCGUGAGUGAAGAAGGUCUUCGGAUUGUAAAGCUCUUUUACCAGGGACGAUAAUGACGGUACCUGGAGAAUAAGCCCCGGCCCACUUCGUGCCAGCAGCCGCGGUAAUACGAAGGGGGCGAGCGUUGUUCGGACUUACUGGGCGUAAAGCGCACGUAGGGGGGGCGUUUAGUCCGGGGGGAUAUGCCGGGGCUCAACUCCGGCAC
rnacentral:rRNA from 1 species